GUCACCCCCCCCCCACACUCCUAGUUUGUGAUUGUGCAGAAGUGUGUGUAUCCUUAUGUGCCUGUAGCAGUAUUUUCGUUUAGUUUUGUUUAAACCGGAAGAGAUAAAACAAAAAAAUGCAAAUAGAUGUUAAUUAUUAUCACAAUGCAGGCCCUUUGUUCUUGCCAGUUCUCCACUUUGUGAGAGGGCCCUACCUACAGUCCUUUAAUCUAAUCUAACCCCUUUCAAUUCUUUAUUCUCGUCAGGUGACAGAGUGAUUUUGCAUAUAUUAUUUAAUAUGAUCUUUACAAUAAUUUAUUUCACAGAUUAAUCAGGACUUGAAGCCAUGGUCUUCCCUCUAUUUGUUAAUUAUAUUUUUAUUGGGCAUCUUCUACUUACCAGACACUUCUCUGGGUACUGGGGAUUGGUCGCUAACCUGAUUUUACAUGAGUUUAUAACCUCGACAGACGAUGAUCAAACAAGCAAAACGUAAACGCGGGGUGUGCGCACGCAUGCGCAAGCACAUGAAGGUGUAGGUGCGCGCAUGCGUGUAAGCCUGCGCGUGCGCGCAUGGUGUGUGCAUACGUAAGGGCUAAUAGAGGCACAUGCUUUGAAGAACAACGGAGAACAACAGAGAGUCCGAGACCGUGGGUACUUCGGUCAGUGUUGGCCCAGAAUGAAAAACACACCCCUUAUAAUCCGCGGAGGAUGUAAUCCACGACAUUAAUAACUGGUGUCAUGUCUGGAUUAGAUGUUCGAGUGCUACAAUGUACACCUUGUUCUUAACAAGUGCCACGAGGACUCAGUGUCAUCAUCUUGGGGUCUUCUUACUGCCAGUAAGUAGCCGUGUGAUUUAGUGUAGGGCACGUAAACUCCCUGUGCCUCAGUUUCCUAAAUCAAAUUUGAAGAGGUUGAGUUAAUUACUAAGACUCCUUUUAGAGCCAAAAAACCCAUGAUUAAUAUUUUUCUGUAAGCAUUAUAAUUUAUUCCUCAUUGGGAGGAACAUGCUCUGUGUCACCAUCACAUGUAGGAUAUCUAUAGAUGAUCAGUAUCCAAGUUUAGGAAAAGUAUCAAAUACCUCAGUACAUAAAUUUGUUAAUAUUUGGGUUGUUGGGGUUUUUUUUGUGUGUAUAUUUUUUAAUUAGUUCCUUUCUGAGGAUUGUGUCCAUUAAGAUACUUCAUGCUCAGCCAGUAUGUUUAUUAUUUUUCAAUAGUAUGCUUUAAAUAAAGGAGAGAACUUUAUUUGA